rnacentral:rRNA from 1 species
UACGUAGGUGGCAAGCGUUGUCCGGAAUUACUGGGUGUAAAGGGAGCGUAGGCGGGAAGGCAAGUCAGAUGUGAAAUCCACAGGCUUAACCUGUGGCGUGCAUUUGAAACUGCAGGACUUGAGUGAAGUAGAGGUAGGCGGAAUUCCCGGUGUAGCGGUGAAAUGCGUAGAGAUCGGGAGGAACACCAGUGGCGAAGGCGGCCUGCUGGGCUUUUACUGACGCUGAUGCUCGAAAGCAUGGGUAGCAA